AGGAUGUGCAGCUAUGACAUACAACUAUCUACUGGGGCUUUGGGGGGAAAAUAAGAAAAAGAGAGGAAGACUGGUAACAGAUGUUAGCUCAGGGCGAAUCUUUCCC